rnacentral:rRNA from 1 species
UACGGAGGAGGCAAGCGUUAUCCGGAAUUAUUGGGCGAAAAGCGUACGUAGGUGGUUGGCCAAGUCUGCUGUCAAAGGGUGGGGCUUAACCUCAUAAAGGCAGUGGAAACUGGCGAGCUAGAGUGCGGUAGGGGUAGGGGGAAUUCCCAGUGUAGCGGUGAAAUGCGUAGAGAUUGGGAAGAACAUCGGUGGCGAAAGCGCCCUUCUGGGCCUGCACUGACACUGAGGGACGAAAGCUAGGGGAGUGAAAGGG